UACACAGUUGUGAUCGCUGUGAUAGUGUCUGUGUGUACGAUCAUUCUGCUGGCAGUGCUCAUCCUGAUCUUGUACUAUAGAAAAAAACUGACAAAAUCAAGCUCUGAAAAUAAAUUCAGCUCCUCGUCGUGGACUGUCAAUUUAAGCAGUCGGAGGAGGUCUGUUGUUGAUGAAACCAGAGGAAAAGUUAACCCAGGAUACCACGCCGAACACAUAACAAGUUCAGGACACCAUGACCUCAGGAAUAGAGCUGACAGCACGAUAAACAUCAUCAGCCCUCCACAGGUUCCUGAUAUUGUAAUUUUCAGCACUCAAAAUCAGAAAGAGGAAGAUUUUUCUAACCUGUACUGCAAGGGAGCAAAGACAGUCCGCCGGGUCACCACUGUUUGACCUCAGGGUCGACCCCACAUCAACCACCCACUGCAAGAAAGAAACAAAGGUCAUAUAUGCUGAAAAUGAAGAUGCAAUGGCUUGCAUGUCUAGAGGACGGGGAUCAUCAUAUGAGCCCUGCAGUUAUGUCAACUACAUGCAGUCAUUCACAGUCAUGAAUGCUGUUAUAUCAGCCACGUCAACAUUGCAUAUGUUUUUUUUUUUGUCAUUC